UACGGAGGGUGCAAGCGUUAAUCGGAAUUACUGGGCGUAAAGCGUGCGCAGGCGGUUUGUUAAGUCCGUUGUGAAAGCCCCGAGCUCAACUUGGGAAUUGCAGUGGAUACUGGCAGGCUGGAGUACGGUAGAGGAAGGUGGAAUUCCCGGUGUAGCAGUGAAAUGCGUAGAGAUCGGGAGGAACACCAGUGGCGAAGGCGGCCUUCUGGACCAAUACUGACGCUGAUGAGCGAAAGCCAGGGGAGCAAACGGG
rnacentral:rRNA from 1 species